AGGAUUAACGCUGGCGGCGUGCCUGACACAUGCAAGUCGAACGAGGCCGCAAGGCCGAGUGGCGGACGGGUGAGUAACACGUGACCAACCAACCUCGAAGUUGGGAAUAGCUCUGCGAAAGUAGGGGUAAUACCGAAUGUGGCCCAGGGCGGGCAUCCGCCUUGGUCUAAAGAUUCAUCGCUUCGAGACGGGGUCGCGGCCUAUUAGCUUGUUGGUGAGGUAACGGCUCACCAAGGCGAUGAUGGGUAGCUGGUCUGAGAGGACGACCAGCCACACUGGGACUGAGACACGGCCCAGACUCCUACGGGAGGCAGCAGUGAGGAAUCUUCCGCAAUGGGCGAAAGCCUGACGGAGCAACGCCGCGUGUGGGAUGAAGACUCUAGGGUUGUAAACCACUGUCGGAGGGGACGAUCGUGACGGUACCCUCAAGAAACGCCCCGGCUAACGUACGCGCCAGCAGCCGC
rnacentral:rRNA from 1 species